rnacentral:rRNA from 1 species
UGAACGCUGGCGGCGUGCCUCAUACAUGCAAGUCGAGCGAACAGACGAGGAGCUUGCUCCUCUGCCGUUAGCGGCGGACGGGUGAGUAACACGUGGAUAACCUACCUAUAAGACUGGGAUAACUUCGGGAAACCGGAGCUAAUACCGGAUAAUAUAUUGAACCGCAUGGUUCAAUAGUGAAAGACGGUUUUGCUGUCACUUAUAGAUGGAUCCGCGCCGCAUUAGCUAGUUGGUAAGGUAACGGCUUACCAAGGCAACGAUGCGUAGCCGACCUGAGAGGGUGAUCGGCCACACUGGAACUGAGACACGGUCCAGACUCCUACGGGAGGCAGCAGUAGGGAAUCUUCCGCAAUGGGCGAAAGCCUGACGGAGCAACGCCGCGUGAGUGAUGAAGGUCUUCGGAUCGUAAAACUCUGUUAUUAGGGAAGAACAAAUGUGUAAGUAACUAUGCACGUCUUGACGGUACCUAAUCAGAAAGCCACGGCUAACUACGUG